CAAAAAAAAAAAAAAUAAAGGACGUGUUUCAUGUUUUGAGGCUCUUACAAUAAUUUUCGGGAUAACUAAUUAAUUAUUUUUCGGUUGUGAGUAAGUGAUAGAGUCGGAAACUGUGUGGCUACUGAUAAUUCACUGUGACAGGCAUGACUUGAGAGUUCAUAGCGGAGCUUUGUCUAUGAAUUAAUUUGGUAGAUAAUUGGCAAAGAAGCGACACCUACCUGAUUAUACGCCACGGUUGACGUGUGUGACGCAGGAUAUAUGUUACUUUUUAGUAUUGACGCACAUUCUAGCAAGACUUCCCAGUCCACUCCUAGUUAAUCUCUCCUUUGCCCACAGGUUAAGGGACAAGUUAAUAUAUCAUUUAUUCGUUUAUAUUAUUUUUUCUCACAUAUUAAUUAAUACUAUUUAAUGGUACCAAAAAAAUACUAUUUAAAAUUUAAUACAUACAGACCCGUAAUAUAUUUUUAUGUCGGUUUUGCUGAGGGAGUAAUUCGCUUCUCCCACUAGCUAAUUUUGUUCCUCCAGCUAGAGAAAUUGCAGGCCUGAAAUUGAUUUGCAUGUCUUUGUUGUUAAUAUUUGCAUAAUAUAGUAAGAUUCAUCAUAUCUGAAUUUCUUUGUCUUCUGGUUGGCUGGUUGCAAUAAGACCUUUUUGUUGCAUAGUUUUGCUUAUUAUUUGAAGUAACUUUUUCUUUUAAGUUCUGAAGAAAAGCAUGAUUUGGCUAACAGGGUUCAAUUCUAGGUCUUGAGGUUGACAUUACUGGGAGAUCAUAUCAUAGCCAACUGAUCACAGCAGAAGAAACGAAAGAUAAUGAAAAAAUAAAUAAAGGAGGAGAUGGAAAUUAUUUGAAAGGCAGUAUUUAUACAUUUAAAAUCCCACAGGUGAAAUAAUUAUCACAUAUGACACUUAGUUGUGUUAAUGUCGUUUUAUUGCCCUUUUUGAUUUUGAUCUCUCCGAGAUAUUUAUGUGUUAUUGACCUUAUAGGUUGGUGGAGGGACAAUAAUUUCAGUUAAAGCGACUUGGUCUCAAAAGUUGGCAUAUAAUGAGGGCCAAUUCUGCCUCAAUGUACCAUUUAGUUUUCCGGCAUUUGUCAACCCGAUUGGCAAGAAAAUUUCCAAGAGAGAAAAGAUAAUGUUAAAUGUGAAUUCUGGUUUUGGAAACGAAAUUUUGUGCAAGAGUACUAACCAUGCUCUAAAGGUAUGUCAUUCUCAUAGUUAUUCAAUGUUUCAAUCAGCUUCUGAAAUACAAAGAAAAUGAUACGAGUGAUAUCGUCUCUCCUAGGAGCUAAGGCGUGAGGUUGGUAAAAUGGGUUUCUUAUAUGAAGCAGAAGUACCAACUUGGUCAAGUGCUGACUUUAAUUUUUCAUAUUCUGUAAGUCCUUGAACUAACCAUUGGCUGUCUUUACACAAGACAAUUUUUCUUUGUAGCUUCUCAGUGGUCAUGAGAUGAACACAUCACGAGCAAAGAGAUCCAUUUAAUAACAAUUAUGGGUGACUGCUGUGUUUACAGGUCCCCUCGAAGGACUUAUUUGGUGGUGUGUUCUUGCAGUCCCCACUUCUGCGAGAUUUUGAUGAUAGGCAGAUGUUCUGUUUCUAUCUUUUCCCCGGAAAUAACCAGAGGAGGAAGGCUUUCAGGAAGGAUGUGAUCUUUAUAAUUGAUAUAAGUGGAAGCAUGAAUGGAGCUCCUUUUGAGAAUGCGAAGAAUGCGCUAAUAUCAUCACUCUCUAAACUCAAUUCUGAAGAUUCUUUCAACGUAAUUGCUUUCAAUGGGGAGACCUAUUUAUUUUCAUCAUUAUUGGAGCCGGUAACACAGGGAACAAUAUCAAAAGCUACCCAGUGGCUUAGUGAUAAUUUAACCGUUGGUGGUGAUACAAACAUUUUGCUUCCUCUUAAACAGGCUAUGAAGCUGUUGGCUGAAACUACUGAUUCAAUUCCUCUUAUUUUUCUCAUCACUGAUGGGGCUGUUGAGGAUGAAAGGGAUAUUUGCAAUUUUGUGAAAGAGUCUCUUAAAAGUGGAGGAUCAAUUUCUCCUCGUUUAUGUACAUUUGGCAUUGGAUUAUAUUGUAACCACUAUUUCUUGCAAAUGCUAGCACAAAUAGGAAGGGGUUAUUUUGAUAGUGCUUAUGAUGCAGAUUCAGUUGAUUUUCGAAUGCAGCGGUUAUUUUCAACUGCUUCAUCGGUCAUCCUAGCAAAUGUUACAGUGGGUGCUUUGGAACAUUUUGAUUCACUCGAGUUGCUUCCAUUUAGAAUUCCAGACCUCUCAUGUGGAAGUCCAUUGGUUGUAUCAGGCAGAUAUACUGGAAACUUUCCGGACUCUGUAAAAAUUAAUGGUACUUUGGCAGAUAUGAGCAAUUUCACAAUAGAAUUAAAAACGCGAAAGGCAAAGGAUGUUCAACUUGAUAAAGUAAUGUUUAUUCCGGGCUUUUUCUUAUAUCUGUAUUCAACAAUAUAAAAUUGCAGGAUAGGUUUAUAAAAUUUCCGUAUAGCUAUAAUUACCAUUUGAUGUUGAUAUCUUGUUUCUUAUAUGAUUAGUCACACAAAGCGAGAGCCUUUUAGGUUUUCUUAUAUCUCUGUUGCUCAAAUGCCCGCGACUUCCACUCAUUAUUUUCUGUGCUCACAACUUGCUUUAUAUUGUGUAUAAAGCUGCUUCUUUGAAGAUCGAAGUUCACACUCUUCCACAAAGCUAUAGUAGAUAUUUCAAUUGGCACUUGCCUUGUUUGCUUCCAGCAUGUAUGCUUAGGUCUUGAAUGGCUCAAAGAGGAAUAUUUGUCUGACAUAUUUAGAGCUUUUCAACUGCCCACAUGAUUGAAUUUGUUUUCAAGUUCUCAAGCAUGAAAUUUUGACCAUCCUUCACGAUGGAGUCACUGCCACAAGCUCAAAACUGUUACAGUGUUGCUCCAUCUUCUUGAGUGGAGGAUCGUACUAAUUAACUGUAGAUUACUGUAGUUGAGAUGAGAACAAAAAAAUUGCUAAUAGUGUUGUUCUCUAAUUAUUGUUCUGCAUUCUACAGGUGCUUGCUAGGAGACAAAUUGAUGUUCUCACUGCUAACGUAUGGAUGUCAGAAAGCAAAGACCUUCAGCAAAAGGUUGACUACUGAAAUUUCUUGGAUUUUAAUGAACCCAAGUCCAUAAGUGGAAUUUAAUUAUAUCAUUUACUACAAUAUUGCUUAAACUACAAUGAGGAAAAAAAAUUGUCAGCCUUAUAUUGCUAAGGACUAAUAGGCACGAUUGGGAGAGAUACAGUUGUGUGUUUGUGACCAAGCUCAGUGGUUAGUUGGGCAUGGCUUUUUUUUUUCUUUUUAAGUUGGGGAUUGAAAGAAUGGAGACUCGAAUCUAGUUCUGCGGGCUGAGUAAUAAACCUUCAGCUUCAGCCAUCGAAUAAAACAGGCUAGGCUUGGCAUGGAUGGUCAUGAAGAUGAAGAUAAUCAUAUUCUCUCCUAAAAAAAAAUAAUUUACACACUAUGUUCUGUUUUAGGUUGCAGAAAUGAGCUUACAGACUGGAGUUCCAUCUGAAUAUACCCAUAUGAUUUUGCAUAAGACUGACAAAGGGGACAAAGCACCACAACCAAUUCUGAUGCAGGAGGUAUUCAACAAAAUUAACUCGCUUAGACAAGUGGAUUCAGAAAGUCAGAAUGUCAUUUUCUUGCGGAACCUAGGUGUUGGCUUUGGCAAUUUGAGUGCAACAGCAGCAAACAUUCCUCCUGGAACAGAGCAAAUAAAGUCACCUGAAGCUACAGAAUUGCUGGUUAAGGCUGCUUCCAAUUGUUGCAGUAGGCUGGUCGACAGGUGCUGUUGCAGGUGCUUCAUGCAGGCUUGUACAUACAUGAAUGGGCAGUGCUACAUUGUCCUCUCGCAACUCUGUGUUGCCCUCGCUUGCUUUCAAUGCCUCAACUGUUGCUAUGAGCUUUGUGAGUGCAUGUAAUUAUGGUGUUAAAAUAGUUUCUGAACAUAGAAAAUGUAAGUACUAUACAGUGUAAAUGGUUAUCCAACAAAAGAUACAGUGGUGUUGUUGGCAUGGAAGUAUAUGAAUUCUGAUAGGAAUAGUAGCUCAUUAUAAUAUAUAUGAUUUCAAUCGAUGCUUAACUCGAUAUUUUAUAAUUUCAUAUAUUAUUUUCGUAUUAUUAAAUUAAAAUUUAUUAAUAAAUUAUUUUAUAUUUUAUGCUGAAUAGUAAUUAUUACUGAGUUAUAAUUCCUAUUUGUAACCUUAUAGAUUUACAAAUAAUUUUA
rnacentral:misc_RNA from 1 species